AACGAACGCUGGCGGCAGGCCUAACACAUGCAAGUCGAGCGCCCCGCCAGGGGAGCGGCGGACGGGUGAGUAACGCGUGGGAAUAUGCCCUUUGCUACGGAAUAGUCUCGGGAAACUGGGGGUAAUACCGUAUACGCCCUUUGGGGGAAAGAUUUAUCGGCGAAGCAUUAGCCCGCGUUGGAUUAGGUAGUUGGUGGGGUAAUGGCCUACCAAGCCGACGAUCCAUAGCUGGUUUGAGAGGAUGAUCAGCCACACUGGGACUGAGACACGGCCCAGACUCCUACGGGAGGCAGCAGUGGGGAAUCUUAGACAAUGGGGGCAACCCUGAUCUAGCCAUGCCGCGUGAGUGAUGAAGGCCUUAGGGUUGUAAAGCUCUUUCAGCUGGGAAGAUAAUGACGGUACCAGCAGAAGAAGCCCCGGCUAACUCCGUG
rnacentral:rRNA from 1 species